rnacentral:rRNA from 1 species
GACGAACGCUGGCGGCGUGCCUAAACACAUGCAAGUCGAACGGAGUUGUUCCUUCGGGGACAACUUAGUGGCGAACGGGUGAGUAACGCGUGAGAAACCUGCCUUUCAGUGGGGGACAACAGUUGGAAACGACUGCUAAUACCGCAUAAUGUUAUUUGGGGGCAUCCCUGAAUAACCAAAGAUUUAUUGCUGAAAGAUGGUCUCGCGUCUGAUUAGCUAGUUGGUGAGGUAACGGCUCACCAAGGCGACGAUCAGUAGCCGGUCUGAGAGGAUGAACGGCCACAUUGGGACUGAGAUACGGCCCAGACUCCUACGGGAGGCAGCAGUGGGGAAUAUUGGGCAAUGGGCGAAAGCCUGACCCAGCAACGCCGCGUGAAGGAAGAAGGGCCCUUCGGGUUGGUAACUUCUUUACCUAGGACGAAGAACGUAGACGGUACCGU